GGGGCAGUAAGGGUAUUGACGGGGUGAUUUCGGGGCGGCGGCAGCGAGCCGAGCAUGUCAUCUAAUCUCGUAAAACUUGGUGGCAAAAACAAACGCAAAAAACAUUUUUGCAAAGUUAGCUGAUGCCGUAGCGGCUGUUUUCGGCCCUGCGCCUCAGUUGGCAAUGGCCGCGGCUUAACAGCUUAGCGUCCACACUCGCCAGUUCUGCCGGCAGGAUUGGAUAAGAGUGUAAUUAUACCGGCUAUUCGGCCUUCCGCCCGCGGGAGAACCGGAGAAACUAAAACGCGGACUGGCUUUGAGAAGACCUCGUUUCGGGUCAACCUCAAGGCGAGAUAAAAAACAGGAACUACGCUCGUAGACGCUUCCGCAUCGUUCAUUUCGGACAGGGGUUCGACUCCCCUCUGCUCCACUU
rnacentral:tmRNA from 4 species